UAAUAUAUAUAUACUGGGUCUAAUUAUCGAAAUCGAAUGUGUUGCGGAAAGAAUUUUCGAUCGAAAAUGUUCAUGCGUUCAUUGAUACCGUCGAUAACCUGCUUUACCAUACCAUAAGUAAACUGUGUUAUCAACAAAUUUGACAAGUUUGAAAGACGAAAUAAAUUGUCUUAGCUUUCUGGUUCGUUUUUAAUGAUGUAAAUGAUGAUCGUCGUAAGCGCAGAAGUUUGAGGAAUAUUUCAAAAAACUUGUUGGAGAUGGAUGACUAUAAGUGAGUUGAACUAUUUAAGCUAAAAAAAAACAGAAUUUUAUUUACAUAUGUAUGUAUGUACAUACGCAGUCUCAUCAAAAAUUUUCGGAUCAACAAAAGGGCAUUUAUAUACAUUUUGGGGGAAUGCGAAAAUGGAUUUGGAAAUGGCAAAAGACAAGGUUCUCUGUCUUAGCCACAGGCAGUUAUCAACAUUGUAUUGGACAUGACUUCGAUAUAAAUAUGGCCCAAUCGACAUUUUGUGUUGAUUUAGAUGAAGUACUCAACAUUCUUGAGUACAGGCUAUGUUCAAGAUGGAUUUCUAUUGACAAGACCGUCAGUGGAAUUAUAUAGGGGCAAAAACAUAUUUUUUUGAAAAAUCAAAAUUCCUGGUGUGGCAAUGGCAGUUGAUGGAACUCACGUAAAGAUAAUGGCACCAUUAAGAGAUAAACAUCUGAAUUUUAACCGCAAAGGAUUCUCAAAUGUCUUCCCAAAAAGCAUUUAUAUCCGCGGGUGCUCUUUGAGAAAAUCUUUUAGCUAUGCCUAUGUUUUUAUUUGUUCUCUCUAAAUGACACAUUUGAAACAUAAUUUAAUGCGUUCUCAAGUAUUUUUUUACAUAAAUACUUACAAAUGCUCCAUUUUUGUCAAUUUACGCAGUUCACUUAUCAACGGAUAGAUUUCGACGUAUAUUUUCGAUUUUGUGGUUUCGAUGAUUUCGAAAUUAGCGCCAUCUAUUAGCCACGGAAUGCAUUUUAUCGAGUCGGCAAGUAAGUUCAACUGCAACGAAAACUUAAUUUUCGAUACUUUUUUAAUGAUUUCAAUGUAAUAAUUUUCGAUGGAAUUGUCAAGUUUUUCGAUCGAAACGGAUUCAAUAGUUAGACCCACUAUUUCUAAUAGUUUGAUUUCAGUUCUGGUAUUUUGUAUUAUGAAUAAUUAUAAUGGAAAAGUUAGAUGUGUACAAAACUACAUAUGCGUACAUAUUAAGCAAUGGCAACAUUGUUCGAAUGAAAACGAGAACAAAACGCUUGCCGCUCGUAACGAAGGGAGAAGCGGAAUUCGCUGUUUCUGCCAUUAGCGUUUGUAGUAUAUUUCCCUGCAAGACGUAGGUAAGAGCCUUAUCACACGAGGCAACUUUUGUUGCGGCAACUCUUGGUUUAUAGGCGAGGGGUCGACGAGGAGAGGGGAAUCGCGCCGAGUUUCCAGUGUUCAGCAACUCGCUUUGUGUUCUUAUUCGUAGCAGUUCGCUGCGACGUUUUUCGGCAUUCGUGUUCUUUCUUUCGUAGUACAUAGUUGCAUUUGCGUAUAUUUUUUUGAAAUUAAUAUUUUGAAUGUAUUUAAAAAAUUUAAUUUCAUCUUUUGGUAAGUAAUUUGCAAAUAUGUAUACAAAUAUACAUAAUAUAAUAUAAAUAUUUUAGAAAAUGGAGUAUGACGAAAAAAUCGAAUUAAUUAAAGAUAUUGUGAAAUGUAUGGAGGAAGCCAUACAAAUGGAUUUAGACGAUAGUAAAAAGGGUGAUAUAUCUUUGUUUUAAUAUAUAAAAUGUAUUUCUUAAUUGACAGAGCUGAUUAAUAUAUGUGAUAGAGUGGCCCAAAUACCUAUAAGGAAAAAGAAGCGAAAAUGGGUUAAAGUAAAGAGUAGACAAUGGGUUAAAGUAAAGUGAAAGAGAAUGAGAAAAAAACUCGAGCAGAGUUGCGCAACACAAGUUGCUCGUGUGAAGGUAAUGGGCGACAGCAAAAGAGAAUCGCCCGAGAAUUAGCAACUAAAGUUGCCUCAUGUAAUCGCAAACUAACAGAUUGCACAAACACACUGAAACAUUUUCAGCUGUUCACUAACACUGUUACAUUUCCUGGAAUUUUCAAUUGAAUGGGAGAAUACCUAAGUAAAAUAGAGAAAAACUAUCGACAUUCUAAACAUAUUGUAAUGUUAACUUGCUAGAAUAGGAAAGACGAAUAACCAAUUUUUCAAGAAGACGAAUACGAAAGGCCCAGUUUAUUUUGGAUUUUAAAGAGAGGAAACGAAAAAGCUUAACAAGGAGAAAAAGAAUGAAUUUCGAUGACCCCGUGGAAGAAAUGGAUUCCAAAGUGGAAUGCUCACAACCGUUGAGCCCCCAUAGAGAUAAAGUGUUUAAAAAAAUAUAUUUCACUCUCGUUUGCGCUCCUCCAGUAGAAUCAUCACAAAUUGUGGUACCGUCACCAUCGUCUGGCGGCCAUGCAGAUAUAAUCCAGAUAUAUAUAGAUAUAUUUCCUGACAAGGAUAAAAGCAGUAUAUGUGGGGAGCUCCGGAGAUUUGUGGCCUUAAGCCACAAUCGUUUUAAACAGAAGAAACAUAAACUAAGGGCUAAACCAAUAUAAGUUUUAUUAUUAUUACCUAUAUAUAUUAGUUUUAAGUUGUAAAUAUUAGUUUUAAGUUGUACACAUUAGUUUUAAGUUGUAAAUAUUAGUUUUAAGUUGUACAUAUUAGUUUUAAGUUGUAUAUAUUAGUUCUAAGUUGAAGUGUCUAAUUUUACUUUUAAAAAUAUGAAUUUUUACAAUUAUAAUUUUUAUACUCAAAUAACUUGUAUAUAAUUUUUCUGCCGA